AGUUUGGGCGAGUAUCAUAUAUUCCAUAACAAUUAGAGUUGGUUUGGUAUUGACACUCAUCUGACGCUUUAGAUAAAAUGGAAUUGAGGUAAAAGUAUAUAAGGAUAUACUUCUGCGUUUUUCAACGGGAUCGUAGAUAAUAUAUCGUAAUCGACUGAUCGCGGUAUGCAAAACGUAAUAUUAUGUACGGAAAUAAAUAUUAUAUUUUAUCAUCAUACUUUGUUAUCGUACGUAACGCAAUCUCUCCACAAUUCUAAACGAAGCCUUACAACUGUAACACAAAACACUUUUAUUAGCACAUAUAUAUUU
rnacentral:lncRNA from 1 species